CCCAGACUCCUACGGGAGGCAGCAGUGGGGAAUAUUGCACAAUGGGGGAAACCCUGAUGCAGCGACGCCGCGUGAGUGAAGAAGUAUUUCGGUAUGUAAAGCUCUAUCAGCAGGGAAGAAAAUGACGGUACCUGAUUAAGAAGCCCCGGCUAACUACGUGCCAGCAGCCGCGGUAAUACGUAGGUGGCAAGCGUUGUCCGGAUUUACUGGGUGUAAAGGGCGUGCAGCCGGGCCGACAAGUCAGAUGUGAAAUCCGCGGGCUUAACCCGCGAACUGCAUUUGAAACUAUAGGUCUUGAGUGCCGGAGAGGUAAUCGGAAUUCCUUGUGUAGCGGUGAAAUGCGUAGAUAUAAGGAAGAACACCAGUGGCGAAGGCGGAGUACUGGACGGUAACUGACGGUGAGGCGCGAAAGCGUGGGGAGCAAACAGGAUUAGAUACCCCGGUAAAA
rnacentral:rRNA from 1 species